UAUUGUCGGAAGUAUAUGAUAAAGCGAUUAAUACAUGGCCUUUUCCAUAUCAGCCUGAGUAUCAUCCCUCGACCCAUAUCAGCACCUCGACUCCGUCUCAGGCUGAUAUGGGGGUCUCGGGAUGAUACCCAGGCUGAUAUGGAAAAGGUCAUGUAUUAAUCUCUAUGGGCCUAGCCACAAUCAGAUGUGCAUUUUGUGUUUCACAUGAAGUCAAAAAUGAGCAUCACCUCAUAUCUACGAAAGAACAGGAACUUAGCAAUGCAACAUUAAUGUAAUUAUGCUUCCAGUUUACUACAGACAAGACAUUUUUUCACAUUUAUUUGUAUAUCCAACUUUGAUGGCAUAUAUCUCCAGCUAGGGUACUGCAAUUUUG
rnacentral:lncRNA from 1 species